UAUAACAAGGGAAGGGAAUGAAAUGUUAAAACACACGUCUAAAAUACGAUUACAUAAAGGGUGAAUGGAAAGAGGGCAUUUUUGACAAGAAAGAAGAUGCAAAUGCUGAGCCGCGAGUGCUUUAGUUAACUUUGGUCCUUCUAAAAAAUUCAGCGACUGCUCAAUGAAGACUGUGGCAGUUUCUGGUUGAAUGUGAGAAGAAAUAGUUGGAUGCCAAAGAAGUAUGCUGAGAAGUUUGUUUGCUUGAGUAUUCAAUUGAAAAUCGGGACUACCCUCUGAAUUGUUAGAGCAUCUAUCCGAUAAUAAAAAAUUGCAAAGUUGAUUUAAAAGGGGGAAUAUUGGAUCCUCGGGAAGACUUGGUGUAUAGAUUUUCAAAAAGGAAGACAGUUUUGAGUAUGUUUCGAUUCGAGCAGAUUUUUCAACAUGUUGAAGAUUUUCUAUUCCGGAACAAAACGAGGAUUGUAGUUCUUGCAAGGAAGUCUCUUUUUCAGAUUCAUUUCCUUCAAAGGAUUGA